CCUACGGGAGGCAGCAGUUGGGAAUAUUGCGCAAUGGGCGAAAGCCUGACGCAGCGACGCCGCGUGGGGGACGAAGGCUCUUGGGUCGUAAACCCCUUUUGCCGGGGAAGAAGUUCUGACGGUACCCGGCGAAUAAGCCACGGCUAACUACGUGCCAGCAGCCGCGGUAAUACGUAGGUGGCAAGCGUUGUCCGGAUUUACUGGGCGUAAAGCGCGUGUAGGCGGCUCGUUGAGUCUGUCGUGAAAUCUCCCGGCUUAACCGGGAUAGGUCGACGGAUACUGGCGGGCUUGAGGGGAGCAGAGGAAGGUGGAAUUCCCGGUGUAGUGGUGAAAUGCGUAGAUAUCGGGAGGAACACCAGUGGCGAAGGCGGCCUUCUGGGCUCUACCUGACGCUGAGACGCGAAAGCGUGGGGAGCGAACCGGAUUAGAUACCCUGGUAG
rnacentral:rRNA from 1 species